rnacentral:rRNA from 1 species
UGCGUAGGCGGAUUAAUAAGUCAGUGGUGAAAACCUGCAGCUUAACUGUAGAACUGCCAUUGAUACUGUUAGUCUUGAGUACAGUCAAGGUAGGCGGAAUGUGUAAUGUAGCGGUGAAAUGCUUAGAUAUUACACAGAACACCGAUUGCGAAGGCAGCUUACUGGACCAUUACUGACGCUGAGGCACGAAAGCGUGGGGAGCGAACAGGAUUAGAUACCCUGGUAGUCC